UAAGUACUCUCUCCGUCCAACAAAAAUUGUCUCAAACUUGUCAAAUUUUGAAUAUAUUUAGACAUAACUUAUUAUAUAUUCGAAUUUGGUCAAAAUUGAGACAUACUUUGUUGGACGGAAAAAGCAUAUA
rfam:Brachypodium distachyon strain Bd21 chromosome 1, whole genome shotgun sequence.